ensembl:snRNA U6 U6 spliceosomal RNA
GUGCUCACUUUGGCAGCACAUAUACUAGAAUUAGAGCAAUACAGAGAAAAUCAGCAUGGCCUUAAGAAAGGAUGAGACACAAAUUCAUGAACUGUUCCAAAUUUUU